UGGGGAAUAUUGGACAAUGGGCGCAAGCCUGAUCCAGCCAUGCCGCGUGAGUGAUGAAGGCCCUAGGGUUGUAAAGCUCUUUCACCGGUGAAGAUAAUGACGGUAACCGGAGAAGAAGCCCCGGCUAACUUCGUGCCAGCAGCCGCGGUAAUACGAAGGGGGCUAGCGUUGUUCGGAAUUACUGGGCGUAAAGCGCACGUAGGCGGGUAUUUAAGUCAGGGGUGAAAUCCCGGAGCUCAACUCCGGAACUGCCUUUGAUACUGGGUACCUAGAGUAUGGAAGAGGUAAGUGGAAUUCCGAGUGUAGAGGUGAAAUUCGUAGAUAUUCGGAGGAACACCAGUGGCGAAGGCGGCUUACUGGUCCAUUACUGACGCUGAGGUGCGAAAGCGUGGGGAGCAAACA
rnacentral:rRNA from 1 species